rnacentral:rRNA from 1 species
GGAUUAGAUACCCUGGUAGUCCACGCCGUAAACGAUGUCAACUAGCCGUUGGGCCUAUUUACAGGUUUAGUGGCGCAGCUAACGCGAUAAGUUGACCGCCUGGGGAGUACGGCCGCAAGGUUAAAACUCAAAGGAAUUGACGGGGGCCCGCACAAGCGGUGGAGCAUGUGGUUUAAUUCGAUGCAACGCGAAGAACCUUACCAGCCCUUGACAUCCAGUGAACUUUCUAGAGAUAGAUUGGUGCCUUCGGGAACACUGUGACAGGUGCUGCAUGGCUGUCGUCAGCUCGUGCCG